UGACUGUACUGUAUACUGGAAGGAGCUGCUUGUGAAAAAGUCACAAUGCAGUAAAAAAGUCAAGGUACAUCAGUCCUGUACUGCAGGUCUUUGGAAGUUUUUUACAUGUCAGUUAUCUGUGUGCUCUAACACUUAUCCUGCUUAUUUUGGAGAGGGAACCAAACUAACAGUUCUUGAAACCGGCCAUGAACUAAAAGCACCAGAAGUGAAAGUGCUUCGUCCGUCGCGAAAGGAGCGUCGUAAGAAAGGUGAUGGAAAGAAGAAGACCCUAGUUUGUGUGGCCAGUAAAUUCUACCCAGACCAUGUCAGUGUGUCUUGGAAGAAAAACAAUGUGGAUGUCACCAAAGGUGUGGCGACGGACGCCGCUGCCCUGCGGAAUGGAACCUACUACAUAAUCACCAGCAGGUUAAACGUCUCUGCCGAAGACUGGGACAAUCCUGACAAUACUUUCACCUGCACUGUCAGCUUCUUUGAUGGGAAUACAACUAUAUACACGUCAGAUCAUAUUCGUGGUGAAAAAGCUAAAGAAAACAGCAUCACAAGAGUGAAGUAUUUGAGGAUCACACAGAACGCCAAACUCUCCUACGCCGUUCUCAUCGUCAAGAGCUGCAUCUAUGGAGCCUUCGUAGCGUUUCUGGUGUGGAAGCUUCAGGGUUCAGCUGGAAAGCAGAACAACUGAGAGCUGGGACCUGAACAAAAACUCUGGGACAUGGAUUUUCUUCUGUAAAUAACAUUUGAAAACAGUAGUUACAGUCUGUUUCUAUAAAGCUGUAUGUUGCAGUGCAUUAGAGACAUUCAAAUUCUCUGUGCAUCUUAUUCUUGUUACAACGUUAAAGCUCUGACUGGCAGGAAAAUACAGUAGUUUGGAAUCAGUUUCCUGUAGAUGUUUGUGGUUUGCUUCAUUUUCCUCUUAAUAAAAACAUUUUAAUGUCUCUAUAAAAGUUUG